CGACUUGCACUUGUAACAUAAACUGUUACAAGUGCAGAUCGGAUGUUUUUCAGAAUUAAAAUAUUCAAAGCAGCUUUCAAGAGGACAAGAUACUUAGCAGAUUCCAGCUAUUUCCACCACAGUUCUAAAGAGUUGUUGUUUUCUUUCACUUGUUUGGGCAUUAGACUUGAUGGGUCACCUUUUUCCAUUACUAGUGUUUUUCAGACUUUUAGGAACAGUUAGUAAUUGUAUGGGGGUGCCGCUCCUUUUUUCCUGUUCCUUGCAAUCGAAGUUCAGGCAGCUAGCUGCUUUUAAGUGUCUGGUCUGUUCGUUAUCAAUGCAAAGCUUUCAGAAAGAAUUAUUAAGAAUGCUAAGUGGUUCUCUGACAAUGGUCCUGUCGUUUGUUUGUUUUUAGCACAGCCCAUUAUUUUCCCAUCUGCAUAUAUAUAUUGGGGAAAGUAUGCUAGAUAUGAUAUCUGAAGGAAGAAGAUUUUUGAUGGUUGUAUAAUUUUGCAGACAGCAGACAUAUAUCAGGAUAAUUAAAGGCUAGAACUAGACAUAUUUAGACUAAACUUGGAAAUAAACACAAAUCCUUAACCAUGAGGGUACUAGCCUCAGGGACUGCCUACGUGAGAUUGUAGUAGAUUGUGUGUGAGUCAGUGGGAGAAGGUUUCACGGCUCUCUCUCAUUAAUCUGCAGCAGUCCAAUUAGUGCUUGGAUUGCUCUGCCUUAUAUGCAGAGGACCAGACAGGAUUGUGAUCACGGUUUAAACAGGGCUAGAGAUGGACAACUAUGAUGCUUUAGGCAUUGCUAAGGGUUGGAUUAGAUUACUCUCAAGGUCCCUUUCAACUCUACAACUCUAUGGUUCUUUCUAUGAACUCUUAGUAUCCCGGAUGAAAACAACAGUGGAGUCCUCCACAUUGUUUCCUUAUCUCAUAUUAUCUUGACAGAAACAAUAUGAAGUAUAGACUAUACAGUGGUGCCUCGCUAGACGAAUGCCCUGUAAGACGAAUUUUUUGCUUAACGAAGAGAUUUUUUGAGCGGAGGUUGCCUCGCAAGAUGAAUUCGUUUUGUGAAAAAUUUGUCUGGCGAAUCGUGGUUUCCCAUAGGAAUGCAUUGAAAUUCAAUUAAUGCAUUCCUAUGGGCAAAAAAAACCAAAAAAAACAAUGCAUUCCUAUGGGAUUCGCUAGACGAAUUUUUCGCAAAACGAAUUGACUCACAGAACGAAUUAAAUUCGUCUAGCAAGGCACCACUGUAUGCAGUAUAGAGCACCCUAGCACAAACUAUAGAAUCAUGCAUUUUAAGGAAGUACAACCACUACCGUAUUAUGAUUUUUAAAAUUAUAACUACUAUUAUGAUUUAGAAAUUAACAACAGCUCCAUUUGCAUGUUCCUGCCUAGUGGAGCGAGUGGGAAGGACAACCAUUUUGAAGAUAUUAUAUACAGUCGUACCUUGGAAGCCGAACGCCCUGGAACUCGGACGUUUUGGCUCCCAAGCACCGCAAACCUGGAAGUGAGUGUUCCGGUUUGUAAGCAUUCUUUGGAACCGGAAUGUCCGGCACAGCUUCCUGCAGCCAAUUGGAAGCCGUGCCUUGGUUUCCAAACGUUUGGGAAGUCAAACGGACUUCCGGAACGGAUUCCAUUUGACUUCUGAUGUACGACUGUAUUAUAUAUUAAAUUUAUAUACUGUCCUUCAUCCAAAGAUCACACAUGUUUACAGCAUAAAAACACAAAAUGCAUCACAUUUUAAGAUUUUAUUUUUUUUAAAAAAAAGCACGUUUAAAAAGCCAUAGGUUGUUUAAUAGCUUCCCCAUGAAGACACAUUCACUAGAGCCCCCUACUGGUUGGGAGCACCUGCCCUUUAGGCUCUUGUUGUUGACCGUAAAGGAAUCUGUAGGGAAGAAAAGGGCUGAAUUGUGCAAAGUGUGUAGGAGAGGGAAUGGGCGGGCCUCAUCCCCAGUGAGAAGAACAGCGGAGGCACUGAAGCAGGAUGGAAUCGUCUGGGCUGGGGCUGGGCGUGGUACAAGCAGGAAAAUGCCGCGGGAUAGUCUUUAAUGAAGCGCGAGUGGCCAGGGCCGGGCUGCGUGUUUCAUGGGUGAAUCAUCACAAGUGGGAGGCCUUGGCAUGAGUUAUGGGGUAGGCUUCCGUGGUGGCUAUGCAGGCACAACCACGUUCCCAGCCUUGGCCUGCUGGAAUCAGAAGACACAUACAGAAGCUUCAGCAUCCGACAGACUGGGGAAGUCAAAAGAAAUGUGGAAAUCCAUGCUUUUUCCUCCACAUAUGCAGUUUCUGAGCAUAUUCAGCCACAUAGAUGUCCUCACCGCCAUAUAUUUCUCCUCAUCUAUUGUAACUCAGCAUCACACUCUCAAAAUGCUAUGAUAUUCAGAAUUACAAAAUCCAAACAGCAUCGUUUUGGCCUAAAAAAAAAAAAAGUUAGGGAGAAAAACUCCAGCGUGGGUUGAUAUUCUGUUUAUGUACUCAGUGCAGUCCCCUAACCUCUUCACAUAAUGUGAAAACAGAUACUGUACUUAUUAAGCAGGUGAAGGUGGGUAUUACAUGUGUAGCAAUGAACUUGAUCACCAACCUAAACCCUCCCACCAGCCUGCUCCACUUGUCUAUAGCAUGGAUAUGGCUCCUGGUGCCCUCCAGAUGUUGUUGGACCACAAUUCCCAUCAUCCUUGUUGGCCAUGCUGGAUGGGGCUGAUGGGAGUUGUAGGCUAAUAACACCUGGAAGGCAACAGGCUCCCCACCCCUGACCUAAAGCAUUAGCCAUGUCCUGCCACAAAAACAGUCUCUUGCCCCAAAUCUAAAUUUUCAUGGUGUGGUUAGUAAAGAUCCUUAGAAUGACCCAUUGCCAUCCAGGGUCCUGCAUUAUGCACCUGUAGCAGUAAAUGCUGGUGGGGAGGGGCCUGUAGAAAAACAGGUACAGUCAUACCUUGGAAGUUGAACGGAAUCCGUUCUGGAAGUCUGUUCAACUUCCAAAACGUUUGGAAACUAAAGUGCGACUUCUGGUUGGCUGCAGGAAGCUUUUGCAGCCAAUCGGAAGCAGCGGGAGCCCCGUCAGACGUUCAGCUUCCAAAAGCAGUUCGCAAACUGGAACAGUCACUUCCAGGUUUGCAGUGUUCGGGAGCCAAAACAUUCGAGAAUGAAGCUGUUCGAAAACCAAGUUACAACUGUAUAAUGUGUGGCCUUUAUGCCUUGAACCAGGUUGAUAGAAAUAAAAAGUAAAUUGCAAGAACUCGGGCCAGGAGGAAGAUGAAUUUCAAGUGAAUCUUCAAAAGGUUUUAUUUAUGUAAUGAAGAAUUCAAAUAGGAAUCAAUUCCAGUAUAAUAGGCAAAUAAAAAUGAAUUCCAGUGAGAAAAUCCCAGGACAAGGCCCUGUUUCGACAAUUCUUCGUCAGCAAUGUUUUAAUGGUCAGAGUGUACCAAGUAUGAACCAUGUUGAUGGCUCUUGUCUCCAGUUCCCAUUUGUACCUUGGGGCCCAACCUAGAUAUAGCAUCAGUUGUGUGAAUGUAGUUAACAUGCACACUUUCUGUAAUGUAAAUCCUAAUAGAAGCCAUUCGGGUGGUGGGGAGAGAGUGAAAUUAACCCUUUCUGCCCUGCCAUGGUCAUGAUGACAGUUUGUCUUAUUUCUACUGGCAUGAUGAAUGGGAUCAGACUGUGCAUUAGAAAACAACAAAACUUUCUGAUGAGUUGGUAGUGGUUAGAGGGCAGUUGGAACCAUCUUGUUGACAUGAAGAGAACAAGGCUGCUCUGCCCUGGGCAGAGGGUGUGGUGGGUGGGGAUAAUGGCAAAGUCCUUUUUGUAUUUAGCUCCUUCUCUUUGUCCCUGUUGUUAUCCAAGGUGGGGCCAGCAUCAAAGCCCUGGACAACUCUCAGCCAAGUUCUUUGGAGGGCUGAACUGCCGUCUUGGGACUAUGCAAUAAAUGUUGGGGUAUAUAUUUUUAUAUCAACUGGGCUAUAGAAGCAGGCUGCGUUGAGCACUUUGUCCCUGUGUCUUCUCCUGGGAAUGGUGGUGUGGGGCGGGAAUGGGCAAUGCAGGCUUUGCUCCCCCUGUCACAGUGCUCCCUUCGCCCACAGCUCCUUACAAGUGUGCUCCCUGCAGGAGAUUCGUGGGGGAUCCUUGCCUUCCUGUGUGCCACGCUCUGGAACCUGCCGGUGGUGCCUGCACUGAACAGCACGGACCAAGUGACUACCACCAGACAAUCCAUCCAGCAGACGUACGACCUCACUCGCUACCUGGAACACCAGCUGCACUCGCUUGCGGCUACUUAUCUCAGCUACCUGGGGCCACCUUUCAAUGAGCCAGACUUUGAUCCUCCCCGGCUAAUCGGGGCAGAGGCUGUGCCCAGCGCCACCGUGGACUUUCAGGAAUGGCACAGCCUGAAUGACAAUGCCCGGCUGGCAGCCAACUACCAGGCCUACAGCCACCUGCUGUGCUACCUGAGCACCAUGGAUGGGAAAUCCCCAGUCGCCAUGCCCACCCUGCGUCACAGCCUCGCACACUUCCGCGCCAGCCUGCAAGGGCUGCUGGGCUCCAUCGCCGGCAUCAUGGCUUCCCUGGGCUACCAGCUUCCGCCGACGCCGACGGACGGUAGGCCUCCGCUCCGCAGCCAGUUCCUGCGCAAGAUGGACGAGUUUUGGCUGCUCAAGGAGCUGCAGACCUGGCUGUGGCGCUCGGCCAAGGACUUCAACAGGCUGCGCAAGAGGGUGCCGCCUUCUGCUGUUAUGCUGCACCUCGAGAGCAGGGGCUUCUGAGCCCUGCCCUUCACCAGCCUCUCUGCCUUCGCCUCAUCCACUGACGUCAUACCCGCCCCUCAAGGCCAAGGGCUUUCCAGAGCCUCCCCCCAAAAAAUCCACAGCCUGCCUGCCCCUCUCCACCUCCAACCCACCUCCAACCUGACUCCUGCUGCCACACCUUCAUGGUGCUGCACUGCUCUCUAUUAUGAAGCCGUGCCUCUAGUGGUCAACUCAAGAGGCUCCCCUAUCAUUCAUCAAAGCCAAAAGCUGCAGCAGAGUUGCCCACGACAGGGCCAUCUUGCCAGCCAGCCCAAGCAGUGGUCUCCGCCUGCCUGUACCUCUCCCUCCCCGCUGUGGCAGGCAGGCCUAGUGAGGCUGUGCGGUUUACUGUCACCAGCAAAGGACAUGGGGAGGAGUUUCCCAUAGGUGGCCCAGUCCAUAGGUCUCUCCCCCCACCCCCACUGUCAGGUUGAGUUAUUCUCAGUUUGUCUGUAUUAAUAUUUAUUUAUUUUCAGAUGUUAUUUAUUAGAUUGUAUUUAUUGCAGAAUUUCUAUUCUUGUAUUAACAAAUAAAAGGCUUUCUCCAGGA